rnacentral:rRNA from 1 species
UACGAAGGGGGCUAGCGUUGCUCGGAAUCACUGGGCGUAAAGCGCACGUAGGCGGCUUUUUAAGUCAGGGGUGAAAUCCUGGAGCUCAACUCCAGAACUGCCUUUGAUACUGAGAGCUUGAGUCCGGGAGAGGUGAGUGGAACUGCGAGUGUAGAGGUGAAAUUCGUAGAUAUUCGCAAGAACACCAGUGGCGAAGGCGGCUCACUGGCCCGGUACUGACGCUGAGGUGCGAAAGCGUGGGGAGCGAACGGG